rnacentral:rRNA from 1 species
CCUACGGGUGGCUGCAGUCGAGGAUCUUUCGCAAUGGGCGCAAGCCUGACGAAGCGACGCUGUGUGAAUGAUGAAGGCCUUCGGGUUGUAAAGUUCUUUCGCGCAGGAACAAGAGAGGAUAGUGAAUAACUGUCCGAUUUGAGGGUAUUGCGUAAAGAAGCACCGGCUAACUCCGUGCCAGCAGCUGCGGUAAUACGGAGGGUGCAAGCAUUAAUCGGAUUUAUUGGGCGUAAAGGGCGCGUAGGCGGACUUGCAAGUCAGAUGUGAAAUUCCGGGGCUCAACCCCGGAGCUGCAUUUGAAACUGCAAGUCUAUAGAGGUAUGACGGAGAAAUUGGAAUUCCACGUGUAGCGGUGAAAUGCGUAGAUAUGUGGAAGAACACCGGUGGCGAAAGCGGAUUUCUAGUUAUAACCUGACGCUGAGGCGCGAGAGCAAGGGGAGCAAACAGGAUUAGAUACCCCAGUAGUC